rnacentral:rRNA from 1 species
AUUGAACGCUGGCGGCAGGCCUAACACAUGCAAGUCGAGCGAGCGUCGGACGGGUGAGUAAUGUAUGGGGACUGCCCGAUAGAGGGGGAUAACUACUGGAAACGUUAGCUAAUACCGCAUACUAUCGGAUAACCCAUAUGGGAUUAGCUAGUAGGUGAGGUAAUGGCUCACCUAGGCGACGAUCCCUAGCUGGUCUGAGAGGAUGAUCAGCCAAACUGGGACUGAGACACGGCCCAGACUCCUACGGAGGCAGCAGUGGGGAAUAUUGCACAAUGGGCGCAAGCCUGAUGCAGCCAUGCCGCGUAUAUGAAGAAGGCGCUAGGUUUGUAAAGUACUUUCAGUCGGGAGGCAUUACCGACAGAAGAAGCACCGGAUAACUCAGUGCCAGCCGCAGCGGUAAUUC